UUUUUCAAUUUUUCCCCGAAUCCCAAAUCCCUCUUCUUUUUCUAUCUGGGUUUUCUUCUCCCAACAACUUGGGGGGUUUUUCUCAAUCAAAUAUCACAAUGGAUUCUAUCUCUUCCUGCUCUCCUGUUUUCCCCAAAGACCUGGCCAAGAAGAAGAGGACGAACCGGUUAGCGAAAUUGAAGCAGAGCAAGCUUGAUGUUCGCUGUGAGCAGUGGCUUUCACAUGCCCGAGUUGAAGGGCGAUUAGGUUGGUUAGGGAUUGGGCCUGCUUGACUCAUGGAUGUCAUCGCAGAUGACGGACCCGUAACUAAGGUUGCUCUUUGGGAGAGGUGUGGGGAUUUUAUGUCCAUCACCGGCUGUUCCCGCUUUAUGUAACCGUAUUUUAUGGAAUAUAAUGCUUCUUUCUUUCUCAAAAUUUUUUUAAGUCAGAAAGGGAUAUGAUUGUGUUUCUCUAUCCUUAUCAAUUUAUAUUAGAAAUUCAUCAUUCACUUAUCAUCCACUUAAUUAGAGUAGGGGGAUAUAUGAUGGUUUGGUUUCCAUUCAAUACAAAUUAGUGGCAUCCAAAUAGCUAGUUAGGACCUAUAAAUAUUGGUAUCAUUUGCAGGCUUAGCAAAAUCAUCAAAGUAUAAUCAACUUGACAAUAAAAAAUGCACACAAGGUCGUCAAAAACA